GGAAAACCAACCUCAGACAAAGCUGUGACCACGUUUCUGAAGGGGAAUUUGGGAUUUUCAGUAAAAGGAUGUAGGACAUACAGAAAGAAAAAAAGUUUGGUGAUCAACUGAGAUACCCAAGGCGGGAGGGCACGUGUAUUACUAAAGUGCUCCUGACUCAGGGGUCCCAGCUGCUUCCAUUGGCCUGGAAUCCUGUGGCUUCGCUUCUUCCAGUCCUGCCAUAAGACAAGCCCUUGGACUCAGCCUUUAGCUGUAGGCAGAGGAGGGUUAACUGCAGCAGAAAAUGGGGCUCCUCCCAGAUCACUGCCUGGUCUCUGAAGGAUUUUCUGGUCUGUGUUCCAGGUAUG